rnacentral:rRNA from 1 species
UAGCUAGUUGGUGAGGUAACGGCUUACCAAGGCGACGAUCUGUAGCGGGUCUGAGAGGAUGAUCCGCCACACUGGAACUGAGACACGGUCCAGACUCCUACGGGAGGCAGCAGUGGGGAAUUUUGGACAAUGGGGGCAACCCUGAUCCAGCCAUGCCGCGUGAGUGAAGAAGGCCUUCGGGUUGUAAAGCUCUUUCGGCCGGGAAGAAAUCGCAUGGGCCAAUACCCUGUGUGGAUGACGGUACCGGAAUAAGAAGCACCGGCUAACUACGUGCCAGCAGCCGCGGUAAUACGUAGGGUGCGAGCGUUAAUCGGAAUUACUGGGCGUAAAGCGUGCGCAGGCGGUUUUGUAAGACAGGCGUGAAAUCCCCGGGCUCAACCUGGGAACUGCGCUUGUGACUGCAAGGCUAGAGUACGGCAGAGGGGGGUGGAAUUCCACGUGUAGCAGUGAAAUGCGUAGAGGUGUGGAGGAACACCAAUGGCGAGGGCAGCCCCCUGGGUCGAUACUGACGCUCAUGCACGAAAGCGUGGGUAGCAAACAGGAUUAGAUACCCUGGUAGUCCACGCCCUAAACUAUGUCAACUAGGUGUUGGGUGGGUAAAACCAUUUAGUACCGUAGCUAACGCGUGAAGUUGACCGCCUGGGGAGUACGGCCGCAAGGUUAAAACUCAAAGGAAUUGACGGGGACCCGCACAAGCGGUGGAUGAUGUGGAUUAAUUCGAUGCAACGCGAAAAACCUUACCUGCCCUUGACAUGCCAGGAACUUGCCAGAGAUGGCUUGGUGCCCGAAAGGGAGCCUGGACACAGGUGCUGCAUGGCUGUCGUCAGCUCGUGUCGUGAGAUGUUGGGUUAAGUCCCGCAACGAGCGCAACCCUUGUCGUUAAUUGCCAUCAUUUAGUUGGGCACUUUAGCGAGACUGCCGGUGACAAACCGGAGGAAGGUGGGGAUGACGUCAAGUCCUCAUGGCCCUUAUGGGUAGGGCUUCACACGUCAUACAAUGGUCGGUACAAAGGGUCGCCAAGCCGCGAGGUGGAGCCAAUCCCAGAAAGCCGAUCGUAGUCCGGAUUGCAGGCUGCAACUCGCCUGCAUGAAGUCGGAAUCGCUAGUAAUCGUGGAUCAGCAUGUCACGGUGAAUACGUUCCCGGGUCUUGUACACACCGCCCGUCACACCAUGGGAGCGGGUUCCGCCAGAAGUAGGUAGCCUAACCGCAAGGAGGGCGCUUACCACGGCGGGGUUCGUGACUGGGGUGAAGUCGUAACAAGGUAGCCGUAGGGGAACCUGCGGCUG